AUCGCACGGCUCUGGUGGGAAAAGAUAUUAUCCUGCGUUGCCAGCGAGACCGGCCGUCGGCAGGUAGUUCCUCCCCUUUCCAGCAUGUUGAGAACAGCAGUGGGAUAUUUAUCCUUGAGAAGGGGAGGAUUCAGAGGGAUGUAAAGCAGCUGUGCAGUACCUGUGAGGAGGUGUUUGAGAAGACAGCCAGACCCUUCAGAGCAGUGAGAGGAGAGAGACACAACAGGUAUGAGGAGCCAGGUGAAACCCAGCAGUUUUUAGGAUCUGUGCUGGCAGAGAAGAGCGAGCAGAUGGUGCCCUAAAAUCCCCGCGCCCCGAAGAGUGAGCUAGUGAUCAUUUGUGAAGCUCUUGAGAUCUAUUUUUUUCCCAGACCCUGCUGAGCCUGGCGAGGACUAUAAUUGCAGCCUGGACUGGCUGGAGAGGGCAAUACCCGGAUGGGCUCCUCGCCUUUCAGGCUGUAAUUGGGCCCUGGCGAUACAAAGCACAAAAGCUCCUUCCUUUCCUUCCUGUUUUGCCGGGCUCCCUCCGUGAAACCUUCCCCUGCCUGUGCUGGAAAAUAUGUAAAUACCAGGGCAUGGGA